CAGCCGCCGCGGUAACACGUAGGUGGCAAGCGUUGUCCGGAAUUAUUGGGCGUAAAGGGCUCGCAGGCGGUUUCUUAAGUCUGAUGUGAAAGCCCCCGGCUCAACCGGGGAGGGUCAUUGGAAACUGGGAAACUUGAGUGCAGAAGAGGAGAGUGGAAUUCCACGCGUAGCGGUGAAAUGCGUAGAGAUGUGGAGGAACACCAGUGGCGAAGGCGACUCUCUGGUCUGUAACUGACGCUGAGGAGCGAAAGCGUGGGGAGCGAACAGGAUUAGAUACCCCCGUAGUCCCUGUCUCUUAUAC
rnacentral:rRNA from 1 species